AAAGGAAUAGACGGGGGCCCGCACAAGCAGUGGAGCAUGUGGUUUAAUUCGAAGCAACGCGAAGAACCUUACCAGGGCUUGACAUCCCCUGACAGCCGUGGAAACACGGUCUUCGUACCGUAAGGUGCGACAGGGAGACAGGUGCUGCAUGGUUGUCGUCAGCUCGUGCCGUGAGGUGUUGGGUUAAGUCCCGCAACGAGCGCAACCCUCGUCCCUUGUUGCCAUCGGGCAAGCCGGGCACUCAAGGGAGACUGCCGGAGACGAUCCGGAGGAAGGUGGGGAUGACGUCAAAUCAUCAUGGCCUUUAUGUCCUGGGCUACACACGUGCUACAAUGGCCGGCACAGCGGGUUGCCAAGGAGCGAUCCGGAGCUAAUCCCAAAAAGUCGGCCCCAGUUCGGAUUGCAGGCUGAAACCCGCCUGCAUGAAGUCGGAAUUGCUAGUAAUCGCGGAUCAGAACGCCGCGGUGAAUACGUUCCCGGGCCUUGUACACACCGCCCGU
rnacentral:rRNA from 1 species